CCCACGGCGAACGGGUGAGUAAUACCUAGGAACAUCCCUCUAGUUGAGCAUAACCUGCCGAAAGGCAGGAUAAUUCUCGAUGUGGCAGCAAUGCUAAAGUCGCAAGACGCUAGAUAAAUGGCCUGGGCACCAUCAGCUUGUUGGUAAGGUAAAGGCUUACCAAGGCUAUGACGGUUAGGGGCCCCGAGAGGGGAGACCCCCACACUGGAACUGCGACACGGUCCAG
rnacentral:rRNA from 1 species